CAGACACAGCAGUGAACCUCAGAUUAUCUUGGAUCCUUGGAGAAUUUUUUUUUAAAAAGAAAAAGCUCUGUCUGAAAUAAUGGCAUAUCCUGACCCCCAAAUAACCCCCACUUCCCCCCUACCACCCCCCACUGCCCUCAAUGCCCCCCCCCCCCCCCCACCACCACUCUACUACCCACCCAUACUGCCCCCAUGACCCCCCACUCCUGUGAGUUCAUUCACCUUUUUCCUGAACAUUCUGAUGUUCUUUGACAAACAGCUUACAUAAAAUAAAACGAAACAGAGUGGUGGGGGGCGUGGGGGGGGACAGAGAGACAGAAACAGAAAGAGAGAGCGACAGAGAGAGAGAGAGACAGAAACAGAAAGAGAGAGCGACAGAGAGAGAGAGACAGAAACAGAAAGAGAGAGCGACAGAGAGAGAGAGACAGAAACAGAAAGAGAGAGCGACAGAGAGAGAGACGUGUAAAUGUAAGAGUAUAAAUGGUGUUAUUAAGGUAAUGGAGUGUGAAAGUGAACACGAGAAGUGAAUUACAACACACAUGUUCGUUCUUUCUUUCUUUCUUUCUUUCUUUCAGUGCAGUAAGUGUACUCUGUGUUAUUAAAAGCAGUUUAUUCUGAUUGAUGUGGUGUGUGUCGUUGUACAGAUGUGGUGAUGUGUGAUGUUGGAAAUGUUUUGAUGUCAUUGUACAGAUGGGUGUUUGAUACAGAUGUUUUCAUGUGUGAAGUUUUACAGAUGAUGUGAUGCGUGUCAUAUAGAUGUGGCAAUGUGCAUCAUUGUACAAAUGUGAUGAGAUGUGUGUCAUUGUACAAAUGUGAUGAGAUGUGUGUCAUUGUACAAAUGUGAUGAGGUGUGUGUCAUUGUACAAAUGUGAUGAGGUGUGUGUCAUUGUACAAAUGUGAUGAGGUGUGUGUCAUUGUACAAAUGUGAUGAGGUGUGUGUCAUUGUACAAAUGUGAUGAGGUGUGUUGUACAAAUGUAGUGAGGUGUCAUUGUGCAGAUGUGGUUAUGUGAUGUCUGUUGUGGUACAGAUAUGGUGAUGUCACUGUACAGAUGUGGUGGUGUGAUGUGUAUCAUUGUACAGAUAUGGUGAUUUGUCAUUGUGUAGAUGUGGUGAUGUCAUUGUGCAG
ensembl:lncRNA